ACUGAAUAGACUGGUAAAAGCUUGGAGAUCUUUGUGGAGUACAAUGUGGAAAUUGAAAGUCACAUCACUUAUCAUACUCUAUUUAUCUGCUGGUAUGUAUAACAGUAUGAAUAUCAUAGACAUGCAAGCAGUUAACAUAUUAAUGCUGUGUUUUCUAUAAUUAGAUCCAGUCUGUGGGGAUUCCGUAGAGCAGCCUCCUUCAGAUACUGGAAGAGAACAAGCACACAAGACGCUCACUUGUACCUACACGUCCUCCUACUCUGAUAACUGUUGUUAUUGGUAUAGAAAAUAUCCCUCUUCUGCUAUGCAGUAUCUUAUUUAUUCUUGUGGAGGUGAUAGAGCAAGUGGGAGAUUCAGAACAAAUGCUGAUCCCUCCAGAACCAGCUUAACUAUCCCUAAACUGGAGCUGAAUGAUGC